UUGAGAUUUAAAAGGCCGCGGUAUUAUGACCGUGCUAAGGUAGCAUAAUCAUUAGUCUUUUAAUUGGAGGCUGGAAUGAAUGGUCGGACAAGAGAUAAGCUGUCUUAAGUGAAAAUAUUGAAUUUAACUUUUAAGUGAAAAGGCUUAAAUUUUCUAAGGGGACGAUAAGACCCUAUAAAACUUUAUAUUUUAAAAUAAUAAUUAAUUUUGUAUGGUAGUUUUAUUUUUAAGUAUUUUAUUGGGGUGAUAAGGAUAAAAUAACAAAUAACUGUCUUUUUUUUUAUUACAAUAAUAUUUGGGUAAAUGAACCUGGUAAGGGAAAUAAGAUUAAGUUACUUUAGGGAUAACAGCGUAAUUUUUUUUAAGAGUUCUUAUCGACAAGAAAGUUUGCGACCUCGAUGUUGAAUUAAAAGUUCUUUAUAGAGCAGAAACUAUAAAAGAAGGUCUGUUCGACCUUUAAAAUUUU
rnacentral:rRNA from 1 species